CAGCGCGGAGAGGGCCGUUGGGGCUGCGGGGCCGCUGCUGCCGGGCGUGACGCCGGCUCGGGUUUCCUCGUAGGCAGAACAGAGCUCCUUUUGGCUAGGGCAGCUUUAUGGCCUCGCCUGGGUUUAUUAUACUGCAAAUGUUUUGAAUUCCACAUGUUAAUUUCCAGAGAGGCUUUGUUUCACUUUUGCUGCUUUCCCCUCCCGGUUUUCAUUUCUUUUUUUUUAUUACCGCUGCCCUAACCUUUUCUUUUUGACUGGGUUUUGGUAAUAGCUGCCGUUUUCUGAGCAAACAGAGGACUGGAAUUCUCCCUGCCUGGGCUCCAGCUGCAAAUUAAUCUCCUUUCAUAGUUUCGCUUUAUGUCCGCCCACUAUCCCCACCACAUUAACUCAGUCAACACAUGGAAGUGAAAUUUUUCCAUGCAGGAUCCUGCGGGUUGUAAGGCUCUUGUGGAGCACGUGACUGCCAGCUCCAGAGUUUUCUUGCACCUCUGGGUGGAAGGAAGUUUUCUCAUCCCCCACGAAUGCGAGCGGUUGCCGGUGGGAUGUGAGAGGUUUUAGCAUUGGAAACAUUGAGGGCUCAGCAGCAUUGCUGUGUGUGUUAAAGCCCGGCCGCAGCAGGCGGGAGCAGGCACAGCCUCUGUAGGCACGGCGCGGUGGCAGCGCCUCCGGUGCCACCAGACCCUGCUCAGCAAAGGAGCCGGGCAGGGGCUCUCCACCGAGCCCUGCGCUCCCCACAGGGCUCAGCUCCCUCCCAGCCAGCACAGAAAGCACCAGCAGUGGCGAUACUGACAAAGAUGGAUGGAGUCUGCCUGGCCUGUGCAGAUGUAUUUUGUAAUUUCUACAUGAUGCCUUUCACAUGUGGGCCUGGGAGGACUUUACAGUCUCCAGGCAACAGCAAAUAUUUCUCCUGAAUACUCUGGAUGAGCAGAUGCCAACGUUGAUUCACAGGAAAAGGAUGUAGCCACGCAAGCCAUAGAAAUGUUGUUUGGGAUGGUAGCCACGGCCCCUAAGGAGACAUUAAGCAAUAUGGAACAAACGCCAAUGAAGCUCUUAAAACUCUUGCUGUGUUUGCUAUAAAGAGAUUUCUUGAGCAGUCUUAGCAAUUUUUCUGACCAGAAAAACACUUCCAGUGUGGAUGAAAACAGAACCGGAGAUGUUUUGAAAACAUGCAAAUGUUUGUUUCCAAAGGGAGCAGUUG